UUAUCGGUAGCUCAAUCGGUAGAGCGUAAGAUUCUUACAGUCCCUUUGACCGGGUGAGAGUCUUAAGGUUGCGGGUUCGACUCCCGCGUGAGGCU